AUCGAACGCUGGCGGCAGGCUUAACACAUGCAAGUCGAACGAGUGGCGGAAGGGUGAGUAAUGUCUGGGAAACUGCCCGAUGGAGGGGGAUAACUACUGGAAACGGUAGCUAAUACCGCAUACCAUCGGAUUUGCCCAGAUGGGAUUAGCUUGUAGGUGAGGUAACGGCUCACCUAGGCGACGAUCCCUAGCUGGCCGGCGAGGAUGACCGGCCACUUGGGAACGGGGACACGGUCCAGACUCCUACGGGAGGAGGCAGUGGGGAAUAUUGCACAAUGGGCGCAAGCCUGAUGCAGCCAUGCGGCGUGUAUGAAGAAGGCCUUCGGGUUGUAAAGUACUUUCAGCGGGGAGGCGUUACCCGCAGAAGAAGCACCGGCUAACUCCGUGCCAGCAGCCGCGGUAAUUC
rnacentral:rRNA from 1 species